AUUGAACGCUGGCGGCAUGCUUUACACAUGCAAGUCGAACGGCAGCGGGGGCUUCGGCCUGCCGGCGAGUGGCGAACGGGUGAGUAAUACGUCGGAACGUGUCCUUGAGUGGGGAAUAACGCAUCGAAAGAUGUGCUAAUACCGCAUAUCUCUGAGGAGGAAAGCAGGGGAUCGCAAGACCUUGCGCUGAAGGAGCGGCCGAUGUCUGAUUAGCUAGUUGGUGGGGUAAAGGCUUACCGAGGCAACGAUCAGUAGCUGGUCUGAGAGGACGACAUGCCACACUAGGACUGGGACACUGCGAAGACUCCUACGGGAGGCAGCAGUGGGGAAUUUUGGACAAUGGGCGAAAGCCUAAUCCAGCCAUGCCGCGUGAGUGAAGAAGGCCUUCGGGUUGUAAAGCACUGUCGGGAGGGACGAAUAAGGGCCGGGUGAACAAUCCGGUUCGACGACGGUACCUCCAGAGGAAGCACCGGCUAACUCUGUGCCAGCAGCCGCGGUAACAC
rnacentral:rRNA from 1 species